UAGUAAUUCUAGAGCUAAUACGUGCAACAAACCCUGACUUUUGGGAGGGGCGCAUUUAUUAGAUAAAAGGCUGACGUGGGCUCUCCUUGCUGAUCCGAUGAUUCAUGAUAACUCGCCGGAUCGCAUGGCCUUUGUGCCGGCGACGCAUCAUUCAAAUUUCUGCCCUGUCAACUUUCGAUGGUAGGAUAGGGGCCUACCAUGGUGGUGACGGGUGAAGGAGAAUUAUGGUUCGCUUCCGGAGAGGGAGCCUGAGAAACGGCUACCACCUC
rnacentral:ncRNA from 1 species